AUUGAACGCUGGCGGCAGGCUUAACACAUGCAAGUCGAGCGGGGGAAGGUAGCUUGCUACCGGACCUAGCGGCGGACGGGUGAGUAAUGCUUAGGAAUCUGCCUAUUAGUGGGGGACAACAUCUCGAAAGGGAUGCUAAUACCGAAUACGUCCUACGGGAGAAAGCAGGGGAUCUCUGGACCUUGCGCUAAUAGAUGAGCCUCAGUCGGAUUAGCUAGUUGGUGGGGUAAAGGCCUACCAAGGCGACGAUCUGUAGCGGGUCUGAGAGGAUGAUCCGCCACACUGGGACUGAGACACGGCCCAGACUCCUACGGGAGGCAGCAGUGGGGAAUAUUGGACAAUGGGGGGAACCCUGAUCCAGCCAUGCCGCGUGUGUGAAGAAGGCCUUAUGGUUGUAAAGCACUUUAAGCGAGGAGGAGGCUACUUUAGUUAAUACCUAGAGAUAGUGGACGUUACUCGCAGAAUAAGCACCGGCUAACUCUGUGCCAGCCGCCGCAGUAA
rnacentral:rRNA from 1 species